ensembl:lncRNA
UGAUGACUGAAGGAAAAGAAAAAUCAAGAGUCCCUCUCACGCUGCUGUCAUCAUACAGACCUGAGAGCCUUCAUUUGCACUGACGAUUUCUGUUGCAAGCAGGAAGCAGGAGUUUAAAAGCCUCAAGAACUCGAAGUCUUGGUCUCUCUUGAGCUGUUUGGCAUCAAGGAGUAAAAGUCUUCCGUGUGUUUCACACAAAGGGAAAAAGGUGCUUAGCUCUGAGUAAUGAUGGUCAUCAGACACCUGGAAAAAACCACAAGGUUUAAAAUUUAUACCGCUUCUAAUGGAUACAGAUUAUCCAUCCGGCAGCCUGGAUGCGUAUCAGUGUUGAUUGAACAAUAACGGCUGAAGAGCUGUUUGUUACUUAAAAUUAAUGAAACACAAUGAAUGAUAUACAGUGCUGUUUGACCGUAUUCAUAAUCCGGCCACAGCCUAUGUGUGGAAUAAAAACGGAGUGGUUUUUGCAUUGAGUCAUAAUAAAUGAUUUGCAAAUAAUUUUUGAUGUUUCUUGGCCGGUUCCAUUUACAUGUGUGCUGCAGGGCUCUCCCAGGAUAGCUGCACUCUUAAAGCAGUGCCUUUCUAGGUCAGAGGAAUACCCAAACCCGGGGCCCUGUGCUCUGCCGGGUCUGCAGAAGGUAACGAAGUUUAUAUUAGGAGUGAAUGGGACUGUAAUGCAAACUGAGCUCUGUGUCCCUUCUGCCACGGAAAACAUCAGAUAUUCUGCAUCUUAUUAAAGGAGAGGCACUUUCAUUUUUUUAAAACGUAACUCAUAAGAAAAGAAAAGAAGAACCAGGAAAAUUCAAAAGCAGGAGUGGAGUGGGGAGGAGAAGGAAAGACGUGCUUUCCCUUUCUUUAUUGAAAGCUGACUGGAAACCCCAAAAGGUAAUGCCAGUGACACCAUCUGCCCAAAGCUCCCAGAGCACUUCACAAACGCCAGCAGAGCUGCCUGUCACAGGCAGAGCAUCGCCAGCCAGGCAGGAGCUAGCGCAGGGUUGACAAAGUGCCGGGAGGUUGGUUGGCACACUGAGGGUCCAGGCUGCCACACUGAGCAAGUGAUCCGGUAGGGAACAGAGCGCGAUGAGUUUCCUAACACUGUCGCUAACACUGUCGGCCCCGCAGAUGCCCUCCACCAAAGUCCUCCCAGACAGCGCACGCCCUUAAAAUGGUCUGUUGAAAAGAGAGGUGUUCUUUUGUGUAAAAGGCAGCAGUCUUUCUUAGCGCAGUCUCUUCUCUGAGCGCGACAGAGAUGUCAGCCCAGGGUAAAACAUGACAAGAAGAUCCCGAGAGAUCAUCC